rnacentral:rRNA from 1 species
GAUGAACGCUAGCGGCAGGCUUAACACAUGCAAGUCGAGGGGUAUUGGUUUUCGGACCAAGAGACCGGCGCACGGGUGCGUAACGCGUAUGCAAUCUACCUUUUGCAGAGGGAUAGCCCCAGAGAAAUUUGGAUUAAUACCUCAUAGUAUAGUACUUUGGCAUCAAGGAACUAUUAAAGUCACAACGGCAAAAGAUGAGCAUGCGUCCAUUAGCUAGUUGGUAAGGUAACGGCUUACCAAGGCUACGAUGGGUAGGGUCCUGAGAGGGAGAUCCCCCACACUGGUACUGAGACACGGACCAGACUCCUACGGGAGGCAGCAGUGAGGAAUAUUGGACAAUGGGCGCAAGCCUGAUCCAGCCAUGCCGCGUGCAGGAUGACGGUCUAUGGAUUGUAAACUGCUUUUAUACAGAAGAAACACUCCGACGUGUCGAGCUUGACGGUACUGUAA